rnacentral:lncRNA from 1 species
UUUUGAUAGGGAAGAAUUCUCAACUUUUUCUUUAUCUUUGAUCUCUCGCAAUGUGAAUGUAAGAGCGGACUCCUUGGUACUACCAUUCCGUUCAUUGCUAAGUAUGUAAACGAUUGUCCUCCAAAUUGGCUCAGUUGAUCUAAUUUUCUUAUACUGUUGACGAAAAAAAUAAAAAUAAUAUCAUAUGUAUAUUUAAAAAAAUAGAAAAAGUUUUACUAACUAACUUCCUCCCAAUAUACUAUUAGUAUCAUGCUCUUCAUCUAAUAUUUGUUUUGGUCGUACGUUAAUUACUUUUAGGCCUAAAUUAGAUCUCAUUUGAGUUGAAAGUUAAAAGAGCCAUUGAAAAAUAGUCUAACACUGUUGCCACUUACCAUCCUAC